rnacentral:rRNA from 1 species
UACGAAGGGGGCUAGCGUUGUUCGGAAUCACUGGGCGUAAAGGGCGCGUAGGCGGCCUGGCAAGUCGGGGGUGAAAGCCUGUGGCUCAACCACAGAAUGGCCUCGAUACUGUCGGGCUCGAGACCGGAAGAGGUCAGUGGAACUGCGAGUGUAGAGGUGAAAUUCGUAGAUAUUCGGAGGAACACCAGAAGCGAAGGCGGC